AGAGUUUGAUCAUGGCUCAGGACGAACGCUGGCGGCGUGCUUAAUACAUGCAAGUCGAGCGAGGUUACUGCGACAGAUCCCUUCGGGGUGAAGUUGCUUUAGCCUACCGGCGGACGGGUGAGUAACGCGUGGGUAACCUACCCUAAAGUUCCGGAUAACAGCGGGAAACCGCUGCUAAUACCGGAUGCCUUUACCAUGUGGCAUCACGAGGUAAAGAAAGGUAACGCUUUAUGAUGGGCCCGCGUCCCAUUAUCUAGUUGGUGAGGUAACAGCUCACCAAGGCGACGAUGGGUAGCCGGCCUGAGAGGGUGGACGGCCACACUGGGACUGAGACACGGCCCAGACUCCUACGGGAGGCAGCAGUAGGGAAUAUUGCGCAAUGGACGGAAGUCUGACGCAGCGACGCCGCGUGAGCGAUGAAGGCCUUCGGGUCGUAAAGCUCUGUCCUUGGGGAAGAAGGUCUUCUGACUUGACGGUACCCAAGAAGAAAGCCCCGGCUAACUACGUGCCAGCAGCCGCGGUAAUACGUAUGGGGCGAGCGUUGUCCGGAAUUACUGGGCGUAAAGGGUGCGUAGGCGGCCCUUUAAGUCAGAUGUGAAAGCCCGCAGCUUAACUGCGGAAUUGCAUUUGAAACUGGAGGGCUUGAGUGUCGGAGAGGGUAGUGGAAUUCCCAGUGUAGCGGUGAAAUGCAUAGAUAUUGGGAGGAACACCAGUGGCGAAGGCGACUGCCUGGACGAUAACUGACGCUGAGGCACGAAAGCUAGGGGAGCAAACAGGAUUAGAUACCCUGGUAGUCCUAGCCGUAAACGAUGGGUACUAGGUGUAGGUGGUUUCGAUACCAUCUGUGCCGUAGUUAACGCAUUAAGUACCCCGCCUGGGGAGUACGUGCGCAGGCAUGAAACUCAAAUGAAUUGACGG
rnacentral:rRNA from 1 species